GAUGAACGCUGGCGGCGUGCCUAAUACAUGCAAGUCGAGCGAACAGAUGAGGAGCUUGCUCCUCUGACGUUAGCGGCGGACGGGUGAGUAACACGUGGAUAACCUACCUAUAAGACUGGGAUAACUUCGGGAAACCGGAGCUAAUACCGGAUAAUAUAUUGAACCGCGUGGUUCAAUAGUGAAAGACGGUUUUGCUGUCACUUAUAGAUGGAUCCGCGCCGCAUUAGCUAGUUGGUAAGGUAACGGCUUACCAAGGCGACGAUGCGUAGCCGACCUGAGAGGGUGAUCGGCCACACUGGAACUGAGACACGGUCCAGACUCCUACGGGAGGCAGCAGUAGGGAAUCUUCCGCAAUGGGCGAAAGCCUGACGGAGCAACGCCGCGUGAGUGAUGAAGGUCUUCGGAUCGUAAAACGCUGUUAUUAGGGAAGAACAAAUGUGUAAGUAACUAUGCACGUCUUGACGGUACCUAAUCAGAAAGCCACGGCUAACUACGU
rnacentral:rRNA from 1 species